rnacentral:rRNA from 1 species
AGUGAACGCUGGCGGUAGGCCUAACACAUGCCAGUCGAACGGCAGCACAGUAAGAGCUUGCUCUUACGGGUGGCGAGUGGCGGACGGGUGAGGAAUACAUCGGAAUCUACUUUUUCGUGGGGGAUAACGUAGGGAAACUUACGCUAAUACCGCAUACGACCUACGGGUGAAAGCAGGGGAUCUUCGGACCUUGCGCGAUUGAAUGAGCCGAUGUCGGAUUAGCUAGUUGGCGGGGUAAAGGCCCACCAAGGCGACGAUCCGUAGCUGGUCUGAGAGGAUGGACCGCCAAACCUGAACUUGAAAACGGGCCCAGCCUCCUACGGGAGGAACCGUGGGGAAUAUUGGACAAUGGGCGCAAGCCUGAUCCAGCCAUACCGCGUGGGUGAAGAAGGCCUUCGGGUUGUAAAGCCCUUUUGUUGGGAAAGAAAAGCAGCAGGUUAAUACCCCGCUGUUCUGACGGUACCCAAAGAAUAAGCACCGGCUAACUUCGUG